GUCUACGGCCAUAUCACUUUGAAAUCACCGGUUCUCGUCCGAUCACCGAAGUUAAGCAACGUCGAGCCCGGCUAGUACUUGGAUGGGUGACCGCCUGGGAAUACCGGGUGCUGUAGGUU
rnacentral:rRNA from 1 species